rnacentral:rRNA from 1 species
AUCAACGGCAUCACGAGGGCUAAACUGUCUCCCCUUUCUAAUCAAUGAACCUGACUUCUUCGUGAAGAGGCGAACAUACACAUAUAAGACGAGAAGACCCCAUGGAGCUUAAAACCUAAUAACACCUCUUGCAUACUAACCAUAAUAAAUAAGAGUCCUGUUUAACAGUUUUUGGCUGGGGCAUCCGAGGAGAACAACAUAACCUCCCCGACGAAUCAUCUUAGAACCACAAUUCCAAGAUAAAGCAAACUUAUGUAACAUGACCCGACAAUCGAUCAACGAACCAAGUUACCCUGGGGAUAACAGCGCAAUCCAUUUCAAGAGCCCCUAUCGACAAAUGGGUUUACGACCUCGAUGUUGGAUCAGGGUAUCCCAGUGGUGCAGCCGCUACUAAAGGUUCGUUUGUUCAACGAUUAAAACCCU